rnacentral:rRNA from 1 species
CCUACGGGAGGCAGCAGUGAGGAAUAUUGGUCAAUGGACGAGAGUCUGAACCAGCCAAGUAGCGUGAAGGAUGACUGCCCUAUGGGUUGUAAACUUCUUUUAUAAAGGAAUAAAACGAGGUACGUGUGCCGUUUUGCAUGUACUUUAUGAAUAAGGAUCGGCUAAAUCCGUGCCAGCAGCCGCGGUAAUACGGAGGGUCCGGGAGUUAUCCGGAUUUAUUGGGUUUAAAGGGAGCGUAGAUGGGAUGUUAAGUCAGUUGUGAAAGUUUGCGGCUCAACCGGAAAAUUGCAACUGAUACUGGCAGUCUUGAGUACAGUUGAGGUAGGCGGAAUUCGUGGUGUAGCGGUGAAAUGCUUAGAUAUCACGAAGAACCCCGAUUGCGAAGGCAGCUUACUAAACUGUGACUGACAUUGAUGCUCGAAAGUGUGGGUAUCAAACAGGAUUAGAUACCCUGGUAGUC